rnacentral:rRNA from 1 species
GAACCUUACCAGGGAUUGACAUGACCGUAGUAGUGAAGCGAAAGCGGAACGACCCUUCGGGGAGCGGUCACAGGUGAUGCAUGGCUGUCGUCAGCUCGUGCCGUGAGGUGUUUGGUUAAGUCCACUAACGAGCGCAACCCUUAGCGCCAGUUACACGUGUCUGGCGCGACUGCCGGUAUUAAGCCGGAGGAAGGUGGGGAUGACGUCAAGUCAGCAUGUCCUUUAUACCCUGGGCGACACACACGCUACAAUGGCCAGCACAAUGGGUCGCCAAGCCGUGAGGCGGAGCCAAUCCUAAAAAGCUGGUCCCAGUUCGGAUUGCAGGCUGCAACCCGCCUGCAUGAAGUCGGAGUUGCUAGUAACCGCAGGACAGCUAUACUGCGGUGAAUACGUUCCCGGGCCUUGUCACACCGA